rnacentral:rRNA from 1 species
UUUCGCAAUGCCCGAAAGGGUGACGAAGCGACGCCGCGUGUGGGAAGAAGGCCUUCGGGUUGUAAACCACUGUCGGGAGUUAGGACAUGCAGGUGCGUUAAUAGCGCACUUGCUUGACUAAGGCUCCAGAGGAAGCCACGGCUAACUCUGUGCCAGCAGCCGCGGUAAUACAGAGGCGGCAAGCGUUGUUCGGAAUUAUUGGGCGUAAAGAGCACGUAGGCGGCCUUGCAAGUCAGUUGUGAAAGCCUUCCGCUUAACGGAAGAACGGCAUCUGAUACUACAGGGCUUGAGUACGGGAGGGGAGAGUGGAACUUCUGGUGGAGCGGUGAAAUGCGUAGAUAUCAGAAGGAACGCCGGCGGCGAAAGCGACUCUCUGGCCCGAAACUGACGCUGAGUGUGCGAAAGCUAGGGGAGCAAACGGGAUCAGAUACCCCGGUAGUCCUAGCCGUAAACGAUGGGCACUAAGUAGAGGGGUUUU